rnacentral:rRNA from 1 species
CACGUAGGGUGCGAGCGUUGUCCGGAAUUAUUGGGCGUAAAGAGCUCGUAGGCGGUGUGUCGCGUCGGCCGUGAAAACCUGCAGCUUAACUGUGGGCUUGCGGUCGAUACGGGCAUCACUGGAGUUCGGCAGGGGAGACUGGAAUCCUGGUGUAGCGGUGAAAUGCGCAGAUAUCAGGAGGAACACCGGUGGCGAAGGCGGAUCUCUGGGCCAUUACUGACGCUGAGGAGCGAAAGCGUGGGGAGCGAACAGG